GGGUCUGUCUGCGGACCGCAAGACAGGGGCGUGCCGUUAAGGGGCGUAACUUUUAGCAGGGGGCGUAACUUUAAGUUGUCCAAGUUACACAGAACCACGCGAGACGUCAGGACGAGAUGUUGUCAUUCUGUCUUCUCUUCUGCCCGCAUAGAGAUACGGUGGCUAAAGGCGUUAUUAAAGUUGCUCAUCCAAGCGCCCUCAUGUUUGUUCGUACCAAUUUUAAUGGACGGGAAGCCGACUGACGAACAUCCUUUUCCCGAGAAAUGGUUCGGCUACGACACAUGUUAAGAAGUCACGCCAGGGGCUGAAUUAAGGUCGACCGUUUCAGCAGCAUUGAUGUGAAGUGAUGCAGUGGACAACUUGUGAGGGUGAUACCAUCCACAUGCACCUUAACUGUCUGUGAUGCAGAAAUACAAUAGGAUGAUCCAUCUGUCUACACUUCAAAAUCACAACUCAACCUUAAACAACCCAUAUCUGUUAUGGUAAAACAAUGUGGCGGUUUUCCAGACAGGGCUUAUACUGUUCCCGGGCUAAAAUGCAUGUUUGAGCUACUGUAAUUAAGAAAACACCUUGUACUGACACAUCUCAACAUAUAUCAGUGCCAUUGUUUUGUUUCAAGAUGCACACCAGUCUUGUUUUUGUAAGGUUUGUUUGUAAAAACUAAAAUGUUCUAAUAUAAGUGCCCAGUCCUGGUUUAAUCUAAACCAUUGGUGACCAAACCUGUGUCUUGAGAUCUACUGUCCUGCAGAGUUCAGCUCCAAUCCCAAUCAAACACACCUGAACCUGCCAAUCAAGCAUUUCAGGGGAACCUUAAAAUUAUAGUCAGGUGUGUUUGUUAAAGCUGGGUUAGAACUAAAAUAUGCAGGAGGGUAGAUCUCCAGGAACAGGGUUGGUCACCCCUGAUCUAAACAAAGUGUUUCCAAACUGUGUCCUGCAAAGUUUAGCUCUAACCCUAAUCAAACACACCUGAAGCAGCCAAUUAAGGUCUUACUAAGCAUACUAGAAACUAACUGGCUGGUGCUCUGAUGCAAGUAAGAGCUAAACUCUGCAGGACACUGGCCCUCCAGGACUGAGUUUGGGUACCCCUGACUAAGCCCUGCCUGAGAAACUGCACCAAUGUGUUGAGCUGGCACCAUUGUACAUUACUGCUGCUGAGAAACAACCACUUUCUCAGCUCUACACAGGGUUGACAUUGGAUGCAUUAUUAUUAUAAAAUGCAUUCAUGUGCACUUUACCAAUACUGUACAUACAUCAACAGCUUCCAGCUAUACACUUGAGAUCAGCUCCUGAUGCCUCUCAUAAUGCUGUGUUAUAAUUUAUUGCAGGGUGAUCUUGCUGAAAGGAUAUUUUUAUAAACCUUUACAAUGUCACCAGAUGUUACCUGUUGUGAAUAAUUAUUUUAUAAACCUUUACAAUCUCACCAGAUGUUACAUGUUGUGAAUGGUUAUUUUUAUAAACCUUUACAAUGUCACCAGUUGUUACAUGUUGUGCAUAGUUAUUUUUAUAAACCUUUACAAUGUCACCAGAUGUUACCUGUUGUGAAAAGUUAUUUUUAUAAACCGUUACAAUGUCACCAGAUGUUACCUGUUGUGAAUGGUUAUUUUUAUACACCUUUACAAUGUUACCUGUUGUGAAUAGUUAUUUUUAUAAACCUUUACAAUAUCACCAGA